GACGAACGCUGGCGGCGUGCUUAACACAUGCAAGUCGAACGGAAAGGCCCUGCUUGCAGGGUACUCGAGUGGCGAACGGGUGAGUAACACGUGGGUGAUCUGCCCUGCACUUCGGGAUAAGCCUGGGAAACUGGGUCUAAUACCGGAUAGGAGCCAUUUUUAGUGUGAUGGUUGGAAAGUUUUUUCGGUGUAGGAUGAGCUCGCGGCCUAUCAGCUGGUUGGUGGGGUAAUGGCCGACCAAGGCGGCGACGGGUAGCCGGCCUGAGAGGGUGGACGGCCACAUUGGGACUGAGAUACGGCCCAGACUCCUACGGGAGGCAGCAGUGGGGAAUAUUGCACAAUGGGCGCAAGCCUGAUGCAGCGACGCCGCGUGGGGGAUGACGGCCUUCGGGUUGUAAACUCCUUUCGCUAGGGACGAAGCUUUUUGUGACGGUACCUAGAUAAGAAGCACCGGCUAACUACGUG
rnacentral:rRNA from 1 species